AGUGAACGCUGGCGGCAGGCCUAACACAUGCAAGUCGAGCGGCAGCGCGGGGGCAACCCUGGCGGCGAGCGGCGGACGGGUGAGGAAUUCGUCGGAAUCUGCCUUUUUGUGGGGGAUAACGUAGGGAAACUUACGCUAAUACCGCAUACGUCCUACGGGAGAAAGUGGGGGACCGCAAGGCCUCACGCAGAAAGAUGAGCCGACGACCGAUUAGCUAGUUGGUGGGGUAAAGGCCCACCAAGGCGACGAUCGGUAGCUGGUCUGAGAGGAUGAUCAGCCACACUGGGACUGAGACACGGCCCAGACUCAUACGGGAGGCAGCAGUGGGGAAUAUUGGACAGUGGGCGCAAGCCUGAUCCAGCCAUGCCGCGUGUGUGAAGAAGGCCUUCGGGUUGUAAAGCACUUUUGUCCGGAAAGAAAUCCCUGGAGCUAAUACCUUCGGGGGAUGACGGUACCGGAAGAAUAAGCACCGGCUAACUUCGU
rnacentral:rRNA from 1 species